GCCUACGGGGGGCAGCAGUAGGGAAUCUUCCACAAUGGGCGAAAGCCUGAUGGAGCAACGCCGCGUGGGUGAAGAAGGUCUUCGGAUCGUAAAACCCUGUUGUUAGAGAAGAAAGUGCGUGAGACUAACUGUUCACGUUUCGACGGUAUCUAACCAGAAAGCCACGGCUAACUACGUGCCAGCAGCCGCGGUAAUACGUAGGUGGCAAGCGUUAUCCGGAUUUAUUGGGCGUAAAGGGAACGCAGGCGGUCUUUUAAGUCUGAUGUGAAAGCCUUCGGCUUAACCGGAGUAGUGCAUUGGAAACU
rnacentral:rRNA from 1 species